rnacentral:rRNA from 1 species
UGAACCGCAUGGUUCGAAAUUGAAAGGCGGCUUCGGCUGUCACUUAUGGAUGGACCCGCGUCGCAUUAGCUAGUUGGUGAGGUAACGGCUCACCAAGGCAACGAUGCGUACCCAACCUGAGAGGGUGAUCGGCCACACUGGGACUGAGACACGGCCCAGACUCCUACGGGAGGCAGCAGUAGGGAAUCUUCCGCAAUGGACGAAAGUCUGACGGAGCAACGCCCCGUGAGUGAUGAAGGCUUUCGGGUCGUAAAACUCUGUUGUUAGGGAAGAACAAGUGCUAGUUGAAUAAGCUGGCACCUUGACGGUACCUAACCAGAAAGCCACGGCUAACUACGUGCCACCAGCCGCGGUAAUACGUAGGUGGCAAGCGUUAUCCGGAAUUAUUGGGCGUAAAGCGCGCGCAGGUGGUUUCUUAAGUCUGAUGUGAAAGCCCACGGCUCACCCGUGGAGGGUCAUUGGAAACUGGGAGACUUGAGUGCAGAAGAGGAAAGUGCAAUUCCAUGUGUAGCGGUGAAAUGCGUAGAGAUAUGGAGGAACACCAGUGGCGAAGGCGACUCUCUGGUCUGUAACUGACACUGAGGCGCGAAAGCGUGGGGAGCCAACACGAUUAGAUACCCUGGUAAUCCCCGCCCUAUACGAUGAUUGCUAAGUGUUACAGGUUUCCCCCCUUUAAUGCUGAAGGUAACGUAUUAAGCAC